rnacentral:rRNA from 1 species
CCUACGGGGUGCAGCAGUGGGGAAUAUUGCACAAUGGGGGAAACCCUGAUGCAGCGACGCCGCGUGAGUGAAGAAGUAUUUCGGUACGUAAAGCUCUAUUAGCAGGGAAGAAAAUGACGGUACCUGACUAAGAAGCCCCGGCUAACUACGGGCCAGCAGCCGCGGUAAUACGUAGGGGGCAAGCGUUAUCCGGAUUUACUGGGUGUAAAGGGAGCGUAGACGGCAGCGCAAGUCUGGAGUGAAAUCCCAUGGCUUAACCAUGGAACUGCCUUGGAAACUGUGCAGCUAGAGUGCAGGAGAGGUAAGCGGAAUUCCUAGUGUAGCGGUGAAAUGCGUAGAUAUUAGGAGGAACACCAGUGGCGAAGGCGGCUUACUGGACUGUAACUGACGUUGAGGCUCGAAAGCGUGGGGAGCAAACAGGAUUAGAUACCCGGGUAGUC